GACUUUCAGAUAGGAAACUAGGAAUAGGGGAUAGCAUUUAAAAUGUAAAUGAAUAAAAUGUCUAAUAAAAAUUAACAUUUAAAAAAGAAAGAUUCCAUUUAAAAGAAAAGAAGAGAAAAGAAACAGACCAGAAGUCCCUGCAGAUGCCCGUUUCCUGCAAUUAGAGUGAUUUGCAGAAUUGUAAUAUUAGUAUAUAGAGAUAUCCAGCUUUAAGAAUAUGGUUAGAUCAGUGAAAGUGCCACUUUUCUAUUGUUAAAAGGGGGGACACAUUUCAAACUGGAGAAGCCAGAGCAGUGUGUUUGGUGGUGCUCCAUCGCAUAUGUUCACGAGCUGCAUAAAUAGAAAUGUAAAUCCCUGGCAGUCCUUCCCGUCCAUCCCAGCAGGUCAGACUGUCUUCCCAGAUGACAGCUGGAAUGCCACUUUCCUGCUCUGUGCCAGCAUUUCUCCUAUACCUGAAGUUUUGAGAAAUGGGAACACAAUCCAGUAGUGUUCCAUAAAAUUAUAUAUUUAAUGCUUAUUUGCCCAUAGUUUUGUCUUUUUUUUAACUUCUAAAGAAUAUCCAAUUUGGUGGUUCGAUUAAGCUUGAAGUAUCAUGUUCAAGCCAAAUAUCACACAUUACUUAUUUAAUAAGAACACACAAACUAAGUGCACCUAGUUCAACCCACCACGUAAAUAUUGAACAUAUGGACAGCUGCACUGGUUACAGUGGUAGGUGUAUCAGGAGAGAGGAUGCUGUAAGCUCUCAACAGAAGAGUCCAUGAAACAGGGUGGAAAGUGUUGGGAAAACUCUUGAACAUAACAUAAAAGAUGUAUCAUGCAGAGGAGAAAGGGAGGGAGAGAGGGAGGAAGGGACAGAGGAAGAGAGAGAGAGAGACAGAGACUGAGACUCCUCCCCCUUCUGAAUUAAGGGAACCUUCUUAGACUGCUUUGAAUUUGUUCCAGGACUGUGUUAAGCACAGUGAAAUUAUUGAUGUAAAAGGGGUGUGUGAGCCAAGGAAGUAACUUUCGGUGUCUGCUAUGCAAUCUGGAUGUGAGUCUGAUGCACUGUUUAUGAAAGGAUAAAUAGUAAAAGCACAUAUCUGAACCAAGUCCACAUCUUGGUCCAGUCCUAUCUCGUUAGCUCCAGCCCUAUGUAUCCAACACUAGGCAUCUUCAUGCCGAAGCCCAGAGGAGAUCCAACAACAGAUCCCUAACAGAGUGUAGACUCAGCGUCCUCCCUGGCCCCUCUUCCAUUCCCCAGUGAUGUAGCAUUCUUCUUUCAGUACAGCAGCAACCACAUUUUCUAAGACUGGGACAGACUUGAUCUGUCCUCUCCCUAGACGUAAAAACAGAAACCCAUUCGCAUUGGUCCUUUGGUACCUCUUGCUGUGCAUUCCCUAGAGUAGCCUUGUGCUGAAGAGUCAAACCUGGGUCCUGACUGCCUGGUUUCCAUCCAGACAUCUUCACCAUCUCGACAAGGGCCUCGGGAAAGUUUUACAACACUUCAGGCCUCAGUGUCCUGGUCUAUAAACCUAGGGCUUCUUUGUCACGUCACCCACUGGCAUGAGGACCAAAUGAGCUCCCCGUGGAAAGAACUCAGGACCUCACACAACCACAGCCUCACAAGUCUGCAUUCCUGAACCAGACAGCUCACCGGUCUCUUGGCUUCAAACUCUAAUCCACUUAAAGCCAUUUUCCAAAAUGAAGGCACAGAAAUCUUUCUAAAAAUGAAAGUCUGAAUUUACUUAAAAUAACAUUUUAUUGUCUUUGUAAAGGCAGAUUCCAAACCUUCUCCUUUCUCAGGCUGAGCGUGGCCCUCCAGCUAUAUGGCUGCUUCUCCUGCCCUCACACUGGACCCUCCAUUCUCAUCAACGCACCUGCUCCCCCUGCCUCUACGCCGUAUACCUUCAAACAUAUUACUGCUUACAAACACUUUAGCUCCUUUUUUGUGUGGCUGAAUAUCACCCGCAGUCCAUUUGUUGAGCAUAAAGGGUAUCCAGGAGAGGGAGUGAGCUCACUCCUGCAAGCAGGAGCAGAACCAAAUGCUGCUGCAGAUAGAAUAGGAUCAGACCGAGAUGUGACCAGUGGGCUCAGCAGCGUUGUUUACUUAUGUGGAUAGGGAUACAAUGGUGAGACUGAGAUGUGACCAGUGGGCUUAGCAAUAUUCCUUACUUAAUCACAACUCACUAGAGAGUUACUAAUAUUUGUGAUACUUGAAUUUUUGUGAGCCAACUUUCUCCCAUGUAAACAGUUCCAAGUUCAAUCCCGCAAACGAGUUGGUGAUUACAAGCCCGGUUUAGAUAACUUGUAGAAAAGGCCCAAACGUACCUGAGCCCGCUCACAGAAGGAGGUUACAAGUAGUCCAUCCGGUGCACCGCCUCCCUUUUGAAGGUGAAACAAUUAAGUACACACAAACCAUAGCCGGGAGGGUGCUUGAACUUCAUGUCUUUAUUAGAAAUGUGUUUUUCAUAAAAUAUGCAUUACCGAACAUCUCCUAGCCUUUCGCAAAAAUGAACAUACUUGUUACAGCCUGCAGGGGAUGUGGUAUCUAAUCGUGGUGAUUUCAUUCUGGCAUCCAGCAGGAUGAGAGAGAGGCAGCCACUGGCUUCCCAGCAUCUUACAGAGGAUGUCAAAGGGCCUUAUGUAGUUAGAGGUGUCUGUGGAGUUCACAGUCAAAUAUUUGAAAUUACCAUGGUUAAUGCAUAAAAUAAUCACAACUCUUAAGAACGUUAAAUAGACAUGAAGUGUAACAAGCAAAUAUGUCCUACUACUACUACUACUACUAUUAUUAUUAUUAUUAUUAUUAUUAUUGAAAAACCCACUGUAGAACUAAGUUUUAAAAUUUCAUUUUCUUCUCAAAGACAAAACUUUAGCUACUCUAAAAUAUGUGUAAGUAUAUUUACUUAAUUUUUAAAGCAUAUGUGAAUGUUGACUUCUCUUCUAAUUAUAGCCCUUACCACAAAACACUGCCCCUUAACAAAUGGAGGUAGGAGAAAAUCACUAUGGUCAUCACACUAGCAGUCGUUGUCCCAAUCUAGAACUCUUAAGGAGAGGGCAUGAAUAAAAAAAAAAUGAAGGCAAAUAGAGAGAAAAGACAUCAUGGGGCUUAAUUUCAUAUAGAAUUUAAAUGUAGUCAAGAUUGAGUCAACCCGCCCAAGUUUCCAAUUAGCACUGAAAUCAAGACACCAACC
rnacentral:lncRNA from 1 species